CCGAGUUUACAACUCCCAAACCCCUGUGAACAUACCUAUACGCUGCCUCGGCGGAUCAGCCCGCGCCCCGUAAAAAGGGACGGCCCGCCCGAGGACCCCUAAACUCUGUUUUUAGUGGAACUUCUGAGUAAAACAAACAAAUAAAUCA
rnacentral:misc_RNA from 1 species